CUGGUAUUAAACAGCAUCGCGUGGAGACGCUGGGAGCUGGGAAUGGUGGUGCUGGCUGCUGCCCUGGGGUGUGCACUACCACACGCUUCACACCUCCCUUCCCUUCAGCUGGGACGGGCUUGGGAUGGGAAAGAGGUGCGAACAGCACAUCCAGCACACAAUCAGCCUCACUUAUUGAUCCCUGCAAUGUUUAAAGCCCUGCUAGGAGCUCUGCAUCUGAGCUGUCUGUGCACUCACACACGGUCCCAGCCAGAAAACAGAGCCCCACAGGAUCUGCCAGGAGCUGAUGAAGGCAAGUGGAAGAAGAAGAAACAGCCAUGGAGUGAGUGAGAAGGGAAACCCUGGUACACAUUUCCGGUCAGAGCCAGGGCUAAGGGAUUUGUUAUUCUGCAACAGAUGAUCCCAGAGGACUCUAAAGACAAGGAGAAAAAGUGAAAUGUGGAAAUACUCCUCAUCCCAGCUGUAAGGAGUUUUCUUUGCAUUUAUAUGCAAUGUCUUGCUAAGGAAUUUAUGUGGAGUUCUCAUGUCACAGAGAGGGGAUAAACCAAACCCUGUGUCUUUAAUCCUGGGCUGUGCUUCCGAACCUUGGCAGAGCCAGGGCAUUUCAACAAGAACAUUUCAAAGUCCCACCUGUUUGAUGGGACAGUGAGAACUGUGGUUUCACAGGGAUCUCUAACACCAAGGAGGAUUUGCUGGGUAUUUAGAGUUCACACAAGCUGCACCUAUCUACCUGAGCCAAAGCUGUGCAUUCCAGGCUCUGGGGUGACACCCAGAAGACUGAGGUGCACCCCUAACGCUGCGUGGGUGGCACGAUGGGCUUGCAGGGUUUCAUUUGGCCCUAAUUGGCAGCAGGAACUGGAAAUCUGAAUCCCGAGUGUCCUUCACUCUAUCUCUGUGGUCUGGAGACUCAACCACUGAGUCAUGAGCUGCAAUCAGCUGCUUAUGAGAUGCAAUUAGAAGAGAACCCCAACAGCCACUUAAUGAAGUGCCAAGGACUUGGCACAAAUACCUCUGGUGAUACAGUGAAGAAGGAGCCCUUAAACUCUUACCUUGAGCACUUCUCGCUUCCUUCCCACACCGACAGCUUUAGGAACAGAGUGUCUAAUUAUAGGAUAAUUAUUGUUGUUGCUGUUGGUAGAGGUCAGUCAAUAGAAGGUAGGACCCUAAGGGAAUGGAGACAAGGAAGGAGAGGAAGGAAAUGGCAGUAGAAAGGUUUGGAGUCUUUUUGGUGAGGUAGAAACAGAGAGAGAGAGAGGUGGUCCCUCUGUGUGACUGGACAGAAUUUGGAGUUGUGUAACUUUAAUGGUUUGUGCUCAUGGCGAAGGACAAA
rnacentral:lncRNA from 1 species